AGAACGAACGCUGGCGGCAUGCCUAAUACAUGCAAGUCGAACAACACUUCGGUGUUAGUGGCGCACGAGUGCGUAACGCGUGGGAAUCUGCCCUUGGGUUCGGAAUAACAGUUGGAAACGACUGCUAAUACCGGAUGAUAUCGAAAGAUCAAAGAUUUAUCGCCCAGGGAUG
rnacentral:rRNA from 1 species